rnacentral:rRNA from 1 species
GACGAACGCUGGCGGCGCGCUUAACACAUGCAAGUCGAACGGAAAGGCCUGCUUUCCCUUGUGGAUUGCGGGUACUCGAGUGGCGAACGGGUGAGUAACACGUGAGUGAUCUGCCCCCAACUUGGGUAUAAGCCUGGGAAACUGGGUCUAAUUCCCGAUAGCACUGCAGGGUGGUGCCUGUGGUGGAAAACGAUUUUCUAGUGGUUGGGGAUGAGCUCGCGGCCUAUCAGCUUGUUGGUGGGGUAAUGGCCUACCAAGGCGGCGACGGGUAGCCGGCCUGAGAGGGUGGACGGCCACAUUGGGACUGAGAUACGGCCCAGACGCCUACGGGAGGCAGCAGUGGGGAAUAUUGCACAAUGGGCGGAAGCCUGAUGCAGCGACGCCGCGUGGGGGAUGACGGCCUUCGGGUUGUAAACUCCUUUCGACCGCGAGGAAGCCACCUGGUUGGAAGGGUGGUGACGGUAGUGGUAGAAGAAGCACCGGCUAACUACGUG